rnacentral:rRNA from 1 species
AGUGAACGCUGGCGGUAGGCCUAACACAUGCAAGUCGAACGGCAGCACAGUAAGAGCUUGCUCUUACGGGUGGCGAGUGGCGGACGGGUGAGGAAUACAUCGGAAUCUACUUUUUCGUGGGGGAUAACGUAGGGAAACUUACGCUAAUACCGCAUACGACCUACGGGUGAAAGCAGGGGAUCUUCGGACCUUGCGCGAUUGAAUGAGCCGAUGUCGGAUUAGCUAGUUGGCGGGGUAAAGGCCCACCAAGGCGACGAUCCGUAGCUGGUCUGAGAGGAUGAUUCGCCACACUGGAACUGAGACACGGUCCAGACUCCUACGGGAGGCAGCAGUGGGGAAUAUUGGACAAUGGGGGCAAGCCUGAUCCAGCCAUACCGCGUGGGUGAAGAAGGCCUUCGGGUUGUAAAGCCCUUUUGUUGGGAAAGAAAAGCAGCAGGUUAAUACCCCGCUGUUCUGACGGUACCCAAAGAAUAAGCACCGGCUAACUUCGUG